UACAGAGGUCUCAAGCGUUGUUCGGAUUCAUUGGGCGUAAAGGGCGCGUAGGCGGCCGGCCAAGUCGGGUGUGAAAUCCCUCGGCUCAACCGAGGAAUUGCAUCCGAUACUGGCUGGCUGGAGUCCGGGAGGGGAUGGUGGAAUUCCCAGUGUAGCGGUGAAAUGCGUAGAUAUUGGGAAGAACACCGGUGGCGAAGGCGACCAUCUGGACCGGAACUGACGCUGAGGCGCGAAAGCCAGGGGAGCGAAUGGG
rnacentral:rRNA from 1 species